rnacentral:rRNA from 1 species
AUACGGAGGGUCCAAGCGUUAUCCGGAUUCAUUGGGUUUAAAGGGUCCGCAGGCGGGAAAAUAAGUCAGUGGUGAAAGCCUACAGCUCAACUGUAGAACUGCCAUUGAAACUGUUUUUCUUGAGUAUAGAUGAAGUGGGCGGAAUAUAUCAUGUAGCGGUGAAAUGCAUAGAUAUGAUAUAGAACACCGAUUGCGAAGGCAGCUCACUAAACUAUUACUGACGCUCAGGGACGAAAGCGUGGGGAGCGAACAGGAGUAGAAACCCCAGUAGUCC